rnacentral:rRNA from 1 species
CAGCCGCCGCGGGAAUACGUAGGUGGCAAGCGUUGUCCGGAAUUAUUGGGCGUAAAGGGCUCGCAGGCGGUUUCUUAAGUCUGAUGUGAAAGCCCCCGGCUCAACCGGGGAGGGUCAUUGGAAACUGGGAAACUUGAGUGCAGAAGAGGAGAGUGGAAUUCCACGUGUAGCGGUGAAAUGCGUAGAGAUGUGGAGGAACACCAGUGGCGAAGGCGACUCUCUGGUCUGUAACUGACGCUGAGGAGCGAAAGCGUGGGGAGCGAACAGGAUUAGAGACCCGCGUAGUCCCUGUCUCUUAUAC